rnacentral:rRNA from 1 species
GACGAACGCUGGCGGCGUGCUUAACACAUGCAAGUCGAACGGAAAGGCCCUGCUUUUGUGGGGUGCUCGAGUGGCGAACGGGUGAGUAACACGUGAGUAACCUGCCCUUGACUUUGGGAUAACUUCAGGAAACUGGGGCUAAUACCGGAUAGGAGCUCCUGCUGCAUGGUGGGGGUUGGAAAGUUUCGGCGGUUGGGGAUGGACUCGCGGCUUAUCAGCUUGUUGGUGGGGUAGUGGCUUACCAAGGCUUUGACGGGUAGCCGGCCUGAGAGGGUGAACGGCGACAUUGGGACUGCGAUACGGCCCAGACGCCUACGGGCGGCAGCAGUCGGGAAUAUUGCACAAUGGGGCGAAGCCUGAUGCAGCGGCGCCGCGUGCGGGAUGACGGCCUUCGGGUUGUAAACAGCUUUCGACGGUGAUGAAGCGUGAGUGACGGUACUGGGUAAGGAAGCACCGGCUAACUACGUG